AACGAACGCUGGCGGCAUGCCUAACACAUGCGAGUCGAACGAGACCUUCGGGUCUAGUGGCGCACGGGUGCGUAACGCGUGGGAACCUGCCCUUAGGUUCGGAAUAACUCCCCGAAAGGGGUGCUAAUACCGGAUAAUGUCUUCGGACCAAAGAUUUAUCGCCUUUGGAUGGGCCCGCGUUGGAUUAGCUAGUUGGUAGGGUAAAAGCCUACCAAGGCGACGAUCCAUAGCUGGUCUGAGAGGAUGAUCAGCCGCACUGGAACUGAGACACGGCCCAGACUCCGAAGGGAGGCAGCAGUGGGGAAUAUUGGACAGUGGGCGAAAGCCUGAUCCAGCAAUGCCGCGUGGGUGAUGAAGGCCUUAGGGUUGUAAAGCUCUUUUACCCGGGAUGAUAAUGACAGUACCGGGAGAAUAAGCGCCGGCUAACUCCGUG
rnacentral:rRNA from 1 species